rnacentral:rRNA from 1 species
GAUGAACGCUGGCGGCGUGCCUAAUACAUGCAAGUCGAGCGAACGGACGAGAAGCUUGCUUUUCUGAUGUUAGCGGCGGACGGGUGAGUAACACGUGGAUAACCUACCUAUAAGACUGGGAUAACUUCGGGAAACCGGAGCUAAUAUCGGAUAAUAUUUUGAACCGCAUGGUUCAAAAGUGAAAGACGGUCUUGCUGUCACUUAUAGAUGGAUCCGCGCUGCAUUAGCUAGUUGGUAAGGUAACGGCUUACCAAGGCAACGAUGCAUAGCCGACCUGAGAGAGUGAUCGGCCACACUGGAACUGAGACACGGUCCAGACUCCUACGGGAGGCAGCAGUAGGGAAUCUUCCGCAAUGGGCGAAAGCCUUACGGAGCAACGCCGCGUGAGUGAUGAAGGUCUUCGGAGCGUAAAACUCUGUUAUUAGGGAAGAACAUAUGUGUAAGUAACUGUGCACAUCUUGACGGUACCUAAUCAGAAAGCCACGGCUAACUACGUG